rnacentral:piRNA from 1 species
UGCUGCCUUUGUAAAAUAGGACCUGGUGU